CAGGGAAGAGACUGAGGCAGAGAGGGAAGAAACAGAUUGAUGAAGGAGCCACAAAUGAGUCAUCGUUCGAGGCUGGGACGUGAAGAUUUUAUAAGAAAAGCCGGUGGGCUCCCAGACAAAGUUAAAAAGCUGCAAGUGUCCCCCACGAACUUCUGGAUCUCCUGUAUCCCCAGCAGACCCUCACCUCCCUGCCUCUGAGGUUAGAGGCCACCUUGAACGGUGGGUCCAAGGUAAGUA